rnacentral:rRNA from 1 species
UACGAAGGGGGCUAGCGUUGCUCGGAAUCACUGGGCGUAAAGCGCACGUAGGCGGACUCUUAAGUCGGUGGUGAAAUCCUGGAGCUCAACUCCAGAACUGCCUUUGAUACUGAGAAGCUUGAGUCCGGGAGAGGUGAGUGGAACUGCGAGUGUAGAGGUGAAAUUCGUAGAUAUUCGCAAGAACACCAGUGGCGAAGGCGGCUCACUGGCCCGGUACUGACGCUGAGGUGCGAAAGCGUGGGGAGCAAACAGGG